rnacentral:rRNA from 1 species
UACGGAGGGUGCGAGCGUUAAUCGGAAUAACUGGGCGUAAAGGGCACGCAGGCGGGCUUUUAAGUGAGAUGUGAAAUCCCCGGGCUUAACCUGGGAAAAGCAUUUCAGACUGGGAGUCUAGAGUACUUUAGGGAGGGGUAGAAUUCCACGUGUAGCGGUGAAAUGCGUAGAGAUGUGGAGGAAUACCGAAAGCGAAGGCAGCCCCUUGGGAAUGUACUGACGCUCAUGUGCGAAAGCGUGAGGAGCCAACAGA